GUACGUAGGGGUCGAGCGUUGUCGGACUUACUGGGCGUAAAGCGUGGUAGGUGGAUCGUGAUGUGCCGUGUGAAAGCGCCGCGCUUCUCGCGGCGAGGUCGCGGUAGGAGCACACGAUCGUAAGUAGGCGACGGAGAGGGGCGUAGAAAUUCCCGGUGUAGUGGUGAAAUGCAGAUAGACGUAGUCGGGAAGGAAUACCAGUGGCGCAAGCGGCGCCCUGGCCGUGACCUGACACUGGAGCCAACGACGGCGUCGGGGAGCAAACGGG
rnacentral:rRNA from 1 species